ACCACCAUAUUGGACUGGAAGCUUUUUCUCCUUUAAAACCAAGAAGAAUGACAUUAAUGAUGCAGUUUGCAACCUCAUUAUUUCCUUGAGAACUAGAAUCCCCAGAUGGGACUGCUGGAAGUACUAAGGAUCAAUGAACUAAAGCAAAAGGUUACCUAGGAAGUCAAUACAUGGCUCUUCAUGUGGAACGUACUUCUCAA
rnacentral:lncRNA from 1 species